GGAGAAACCAAAAGCUGCUAAGGCAGAUAUUUCCAGAGAAACAGAGCGGAUGGUUGCAUGAUGGCCUCUUUCAGUUUUGUCAACUGAACGUCUACUAGUGAGGCUUAGCAAGUUCUUGUCAUGAUCAGCCCUCUCCAAGAAAGCUGAAGAGCAAAAACACAAACAACAUCAGUCCUGUUGGGGAUGAGGAAUGAACAUGGCUCUAUUGUGCCCAAACAGAAAUGAGUGAAAAGUCCUAGAAUGAACAAAUCAUCAGGGCAUAAUUUCUGGAAUUUGGGCAGAAAAUGACUGAAUAUGAAAGACUGCAGUAGAAGGAAAGCUGGUACUGAGAACAUUUGUCUUCACUCCAGACUAAAGAGAAGCGGGUCUGAGGCCAGAGAUGGAGGAGUCAAUGGUCACCAAAUGCAGCGCUGCAGCCUGAAACUGUGAAGACUAGAUUCCCAAACAGCUCUGUGACCGCACAGAUGUUACGGCCAUAAAAGAAACUUCACAACUGAGAGCCCAUACCUCCAACAACCUUCAACAGGAAUCAAUGGACAUCUACGCAAGGUUUUUCUUUUGUUGAGGACCGUCAGAGACUCCAGCCACACGAGCCAUGGAUUACUCUCACCAUUACCAUCAGACAGACAUUAUCACAGAACCAGCACCAGCAGACUGCAAGACAAGUUCCUUCCACAGGCAAUCAGACUGAACUGAACUCGUACCAGUAACACCACAUACACACACACACCAGCAGCCUCAUACUGUAUGCACUGCACUCUAUCAGCUACACUGACUGGACUCUGACUCACUAUUAUUUUGCAGCCUGAUAUUCUGUUUGCACUAAUUCAUACUGUAAUGCACUGCAGAGGUAUAUCUACAGUAUACAGUGAUUGCUGUUUAUUGUUUUCAUUUUGUUCUCUCUGUAUAGUAUAGUAUUGCACUAUAUUUUCUACCUGUAUUGAGCUCUUAUGUAUACGGUUUAUAUUUUUAAUACUGUAUAUGUGUUGCAAAUAUAUUUAGUACUUGUCAUGCUGCAGUUUGCACAAAAGCAUUUCACCACCUAUAUACUUGCAUUCAUGGUAUUGUGAUAAUAAAAUGAUUUGAUUUGAA